UACGUAGGCAGCAAGCGUUGUUCGGAGUUACUGGGCGUAAGGGGUGUGUAGGCGGUUCCUUAAGUUUGCUGUGAAAUCUCCCGGCUUAACCGGGAGGGUGCGGUGAAUACUGAGGGACUAGAGUACGGGAGAGGAAAGUGGAAUUCCUGGUGUAGCGGUGAAAUGCGCAGAUAUCAGGAAGAACACCCGUGGCGAAGGCGGCUCUCUGGGACGGUACUGACGCUGAGACGCGAAAGCGUGGGGAGCGAACAGG
rnacentral:rRNA from 1 species